ACUCGAGGGCAAGCGUUGCUCAAGCGCGCAGCACUCGAAGGCGUUUCGGGGAGGAAACGUCCGCUCUUUAAAGAGCGCGAAAGCCCGCUGCGAUGUAUCCCCCGCAGCGGGCUUUUUC
rfam:Brevundimonas sp. KM4 contig_6, whole genome shotgun sequence.